CUCUAUCCACCAAAAAUAAAAACAACAAACAUACAAGAACUUUUCAUUUAUCAGAUUAAUAGGGUUCUCCCCUGUAUAACCUGAUUUUGGCCAUGAAAAAAGCUUAUCAACAUCAAUAAACAAAUGAAACUAUAUAGAAGCAUUAUUUGCAAUGAAUUGUAAACCCAAAGCCACCAAAACUUGAGCUGAAAUAAGAGCUUUCAACUAAGUUCAUGGCAAUAUGUCAUACUGAGAACCAAUAUCUUUGUCUAAUAAGUAUCAGCCAUUAAGGAAAUAGCAACAUACACCCAUCCACAAAUUUAGAGAUAAAAGCCAAAGCUACUAGACUUGACAAGCUAUUAAAAUGAGCCAUAAUCCACUUGGGUCAUGUUGGUAUGAUGGAAUGUGUAUGGUGAUGGAGACAGAAUUCGAGAUGAUCCAAAUGCUUAGUCACAAUCUCUCUCCACCAUGAUCCAUGCUUCCUAAAUAUAUCAUAGAUAAUCAUAGUCCAUUAAGUAAUCAAUAAAACACAUGUGUAUAAAUAAGACGAGAAUGCACAAAAUGCUAAAACCGAGAACCGCUAAAAUAUUUCCACCAUCCUAAUUGGAUAUAACAUGAUCAAUAAGACUCCAAAUGCUUGUUUCUAUAUUCUAUGCCUUUAACCUUAUAAAUAACUUCUACUAAAAAUUUAUUGGAAUUUAUUGCAUAAAUAGGUCAAUUCCUACAGAUCAGAGUUUAAAAAAUCUCAUGAAUCCGUCUUAGAAUUCCGAGUUACUGGAUGAACUGCGUCUUAUCAGUGUCCAAACCAAG
rnacentral:lncRNA from 1 species